UACGUAGGGGGCAAGCGUUGUCCGGAUUUAUUGGGCGUAAAGAGCGUGUAGGCGGCUUUGCAAGUCCGUUGUGAAAACUCGAGGCUCAACCUCGAGACGCCGGUGGAAACUGCAAAGCUAGAGUCCGGAAGAGGAAAGUGGAAUUCCGCGUGUAGUGGUGAAAUGCGUAGAGAUGCGGAGGAACACCAGUGGCGAAAGCGGCUUUCUGGUCCUUAACUGACGCUGAGGCGCGAAAGCAUGGGGAGCGAACGGG
rnacentral:rRNA from 1 species